rnacentral:rRNA from 1 species
UACGUAGGGUGCAAGCGUUGUCCGGAAUUAUUGGGCGUAAAGAGCGUGUAGGCGGCCAGGUAGGUCUGCUGUGAAAACUCGAGGCUUAACCUCGAGCUGUCGGCGGAAACCAUCUGGCUAGAGUCCGGAAGAGGAGAAUGGAAUUCCCGGUGUAGCGGUGAAAUGCGCAGAUAUCGGGAAGAACACCCGUGGCGAAGGCGGUUCUCUGGGACGGUACUGACGCUGAGACGCGAA